AUUGUUGGCCCAGUGGCAGAGUAUCUGCUUGGAAUGCAGAAGGUCCCAGGUUUGGUCCCUGCUAUCUCUA
rnacentral:tRNA from 1 species